GACGAACCGUGCUAACGUUAUUCGGAAUCACUGGGCUUAAAGGGCGCGUAGGCGGGCCGCCAAGUCAGAGGUGAAAGCCUCCAGCUCAACUGGAGAAGUGCCCCUGAUACUGGCGGCCUCGAGGGAGAUAGGGGCGUGCGGAACUUCCGGUGGAGCGGUGAAAUGCGUAGAUAUCGGAAGGAACACCGGUGGCGAAAGCGGCGCGCUGGAUCUCUUCUGACGCUGAGGCGCGAAAGCCAGGGGAGCGAACGGG
rnacentral:rRNA from 1 species